rfam:Fukomys damarensis contig87595, whole genome shotgun sequence.
GGGAGUAUAGCUCAGUGUUAGAGCAUUUGUCUACCAUGCAAGAAGUUCUGAGUUCAAUCCACAGCCCG